GGUAAACCACCGGUUCCCGUGCGAUCACCGAAGUUAAGCAACGUUGAGCCUGGUCAGUACCUAAAUUGGAGACUGCUUGGGAAUACCGGGUGCUGUAAG